rnacentral:lncRNA from 1 species
UGUUGGGAAAAUAUGCUUCAAAUUGGGUAGAACAAUGAAGUCGGAUCUUUAGAGUACUCAAGUCGGACUUUGAGGCGUGAUAUCAUUUUCUUUAAGGAUUUAUUUGCCCCACUACGUUGCUAAUGGUCACCGGCAAAUUUCCUCCAGGAUACAACAAAGUCUCAAGUGAGAAUACUAGAUAGCAAUUCUAGUAUUUCUCCAGGGUCUCUCAUGGGAAACAAUUAGAAACAAUGGCUGUAGUUUCUCUCAAAAGAAAAUGAAAAAAUGGAAGAAGAU